rnacentral:rRNA from 1 species
AGGGAAUCUUCGGCAAUGGACGGAAGUCUGACCGAGCAACGCCGCGUGAGUGAUGAAGGUCUUCGGAUCGUAAAGCUCUGUUGCCAGGGAAGAAGGGCAAGGAGAGUGACUGCUCUUUGCUUGACGGUACCUGAGAAGAAAGCCCCGGCUAACUACGUGCCAGCAGCCGCGGUAAUACGUAGGGGGCGAGCGUUGUCCGGAAUUAUUGGGCGUAAAGCGCGCGCAGGCGGUUCUUUAAGUCCGGUGUUUAAGCCCGGGGCUCAACCUCGGGACGCACGGGAAACUGGGGGACUGGAGUGCAGGAGAGGGAAGCGGAAUUCCACGUGUAGCGGUGAAAUGCGUAGAGAUGUGGAGGAACACCAGUGGCGAAGGCGGCUUCCUGGCCUGUAACUGACGCUGAGGCGCGAAAGCGUGGGGAGCAAAC